ensembl:snRNA U6 U6 spliceosomal RNA
GUGCUCGUUUGGCCAGCAUGUGUACUCAAAUUGGAACAAUGCAGAGAUUAGCAUGUCCCCUGUGCAAUUGAUGACACACAAACUCAGGAAGCAUCCCAUAUUUUU